rnacentral:lncRNA from 10 species
UCUAGGAAAACGGGACAUGUCACCUGGGCAAUGACCCUUGGCUCCUUCUAAUGGUCCUUGGCAGUAGAAAAGUGAAGAAACACCACUCUUGGGAGACUACCUGAAAACCCAGAGACCAGGGGUCAGAGAACUGUGGUAUCUCCCAAGGAAGUUCAGUCUUGAGACAGAGCAGGAGAGAAAGUCUGAGGAUUUCCUUGCCACUCUCUGGAACCCAGGAAGAGCUCCAUGGGCACUUGAUGCCACCAGCUAUGCUCCAGAGAGGACAGUGUGGCAGAAUCUUCCCCAAAGAAGAAAGAGUUCACACCAGAGGCCAGAACCACUUUAGAAGGUGCAUUUAAUGUUCUGAAUUGGUUCAUUUCCUCAUCAGGCUCCAUGAUAUUCAAAAUGCUCACUCUAAGUCUGAGGUUCCCAUGACUUUCCUGCUUCUAAGCGCUCUUGACUGAUCAAAGUCUCUGUAUAAAAUAGUUUGAAUUUUGAGAAAAUGAAAGAAGGAGAAUUAAUUCUUCCUGGGAGACUUGGUAAAAUCUUCAAAGGAGCUGAUUUACUGCUAUGCUUGGAAAAACAUACUGAGUUUUUACAAUAUAGGAUGUAGUUUCAAGGUCCAAAAAUGUAUCUCUGGAGAAUAUUACAUUUUGGAGCCUGCUAAAAGUUUUUCUAUAAAUAUUCCACCAAAUGAAAGAAAACAAGCCAUCAGCAAUCACUCUGACAGAUUUAUCCAGCGGCUCAGAAUGCUGGACUCUAGUCCCAACCCUUGACAAGUUAUGAAGGCAGCAGAGUCAUCAUUCAAAUGGAUUUAAGUGCCCAUUGUGUGUAAAGACCUUCCUUACCUCUCAAGGCCAACAAGCUAAGAUGGAUAACUGGAGUCUUUUAGCCUUAAAGGGUGUUUGGCAUAGCAAAAUACAAACAUAGAAAAGAUAGCUUCACUCCAACUCCUGGCUGAGCUUAUCCCAACAGUGUUAGUGAGGCUUUGGUGAAAUUAUUAAUAUUAAGUAAGAGCCAAUAUGAGAGAGAGCAAUAAUAUUAAAGGUGGGAGUUUAGUUCACUGUGUAUUUA